UACGUAGGAUGCGAGCGUUGUCCGGAUUUACUGGGCGUAAAGAGCUCGUAGGCGGGGGCGCACGUCUCGGAGGAAAUUCCAGGGCUCAACCCUGGAGCUAUCUGGGAUACGGCGCCUCUUGAGGACAGAAGAGGAGAACAGAAUUCCCGGUGUAGCGGUGAAAUGCGUAGAUAUCGGGAGGAAUACCAGUGGCGAAGGCGGUUCUCUGGUCUGUUCCUGACGCUGAGGAGCGAAAGCGUGGGUAGCGAACGGGAUUAGAUACCCCGGUAGUCCACGCCGUAAACGAUGGACACUAGGUGUAGGAGGUAUCGACCCCUUCUGUGCCGGAGUUAACACAUUAAGUGUCCCGCCUGGGGAGUACGGCCGCAAGGUUGAA
rnacentral:rRNA from 1 species